CGAAUAGGGGAGCCGGAGGGAAACCGAGUCUUAAUUGGGCGUUAAGUUGCAGGGUAUAGACCCGAAACCCGGUGAUCUAGCCAUGGGCAGGUUGAAGGUUGGGUAACACUAACUGGAGGACCGAACCGACUAAUGUUGAAAAAUUAGCGGAUGACCUGUGGCUGGGGGUGAAAGGCCAAUCAAACCGGGAGAUAGCUGGUUCUCCCCGAAAGCUAUUUAGGUAGCGCCUCGUGAAUUCAUCUCCGGGGGUAGAGCACUGUUUCGGCUAGGGGGCCAUCCCGGCUUACCAACCCGAUGCAAACUGCGAAUACCGGAGAAUGUUAUCACGGGAGACACACGGCGGGUGCUAACGUCCGUCGUGAAGAGGGAAACAACCCAGACCGCCAGCUAAGGUCCCAAAGUCAUGGUUAAGUGGGAAACGAUGUGGGAAGGCCCAGACAGCCAGGAUGUUGGCUUAGAAGCAGCCAUCAUUUAAAGAAAGCGUAAUAGCUCACUGGUCGAGUCGGCCUGCGCGGAAGAUGUAACGGGGCUAAACCAUGCACCGAAGCUGCGGCAGCGACACUGUGUGUUGUUGGGUAGGGGAGCGUUCUGUAAGCCUGUGAAGGUGUGUCGUGAGGC
rnacentral:rRNA from 1 species